AUGUUAAACCAUUUAGUUUGCGGCAGUUUCCAACACCAAGAAGAUCUCGAGUUACCAUGUUCAUCUCCCAAAUCAAAAUCCAAAAGAAAACCCAACCCCUACUCUUCACGAGGCUUAGACAAAUUCUCCACGCUUUUAUCCGAACUUGAUCAACGAAGAAAGAAAGUUUACUCACAAAUGAACCCUCGUGAUAUAUCUUUUGUUCGUUUUGCGUAUUCAAACGACAAUGAUUUUGUUCCGAUUGUUGUUAAACUGAAAAACAACAAUCAGAAGAAACAUAAGAGUGAAGUACAAGUUAAGGUAAGACAUACAACGUCGUUCUCAGAACCGAUGGAUCAAAAACAUGUCGAAGAAACAAAGGAGUUACACAGGUUGGAAUCGUCUCUUCUUCGUGUUGAUGUUGAGGAUAAAGAUAAGACGGUGAAGAAGAUUGAAAUGCUGAAGAGGCCUUUUUGCUAUGUGCCGGUUGUGAUGAUGUUGAUUUUGUUGCUGUUGACUGUUUUUGGAAGAUCUUUUACAACGGUUUGUACGUGUGUGGUGUGGUAUAUAGUUCCUAUUUUGAAAGAUAG